UAACGACUCUCGNNAACGGAUAUCUCGGCUCUCGCAUCGAUGAAGAACGUAGCGAAAUGCGAUACUUGGUGUGAAUUGCAGAAUCCCGUGAACCAUCGAGUCUUUGAACGCAAGUUGCGCCCGAAGCCUUCGGGCCGAGGGCACGCCUGCCUGGGCGUCACGC
rnacentral:rRNA from 1 species